AUACAUGUAUACAUACAGUAUACAUCCUGUAUAUUAUACACUCAUGAAUCCAUGUCUAUAUACAUAUAUAUCCUGUAUAUUAUACACUGAUGGAACCAUGUCUGCAUACAUAUAUAUCCUGUAUAUCAUACACUGAUGGAACCAUGUCUGCAUACAGUAUAUAUCCUGUAUAUCAUACACUGAUAGAACCAUG